CCUACGGGAGGCUGCAGUGAGGAAUAUUGGUCAAUGGGCGGAAGCCUGAACCAGCCAAGUAGCGUGCGGGAUGAAGGCCCUACGGGUCGUAAACCGCUUUUGCACGGGGAUAACACCCUCCACUUGUGGAGGUCUGCAGGUACCGUGCGAAUAAGGGCCGGCUAAUUCCGUGCCAGCAGCCGCGGUAAUACGGAAGGCCCGAGCGUUAUCCGGAUUCAUUGGGGUUAAAGGGAGCGUAGGCGGGCGUUCAAGUCAGCUGUAAAAUCGCGCGGCUCAACCGCGCCCCGCAGUUGAAACUUGACGCAUUGAGUUCACAACAGGCAGGCGGAAUUCGUGGUGUAGCGGUGAAAUGCAUAGAUAUCACGAGGAACCCCGAUUGCGAAGGCAGCCUGCCGGGGUGCGACUGACGCUGAGGCUCGAAGGUGCGGGUAUCAAACAGGAUUAGAUACCCGGGUAGUC
rnacentral:rRNA from 1 species